UUGUGUCGGACAAUAUUUCAAGUAUCAAAAAAUUAUUUUUUUGUGAAAAUGAAAAAAAAUUAUUGACUUCCGUUCUCCGGAAAUUUUUCGUCUAAUUGAAUUUAUUUUAAAAUCCACACACGUUUUUUUGAAAUACAUAAAAAAAAUUAAUUGUGUUCAAUGCUACGAAGCCCUAAGAAUAAAUAACCCGCGUAAAUGUCCUUCCGUACCCCGAUCUCCCUUAAUUAAUGUGCGUUUUUUUCUAUUAUCAUUUAUAAAAAUAGUGAGUACUGAGUAGAGAAAGGAAUAAAAAUAUCCAUAUCCUUAAUAGGAAAAGGCUAAAAAUGUAAACACGUGACAUGUGAAUUCUUUACUCGAAUAAAGUACACACGUAUGUCUAUGCAGUAUGCACUCAACGGGACGUCUUAUACAAGAGAGUAAUAAAAAUUAUUUAACCUCAGUAUAGAGAAGAUUACGAGCAAACGAUACUAUAGUUGAUACAGACAGACAGGUCAAAAUAAUGCAACAACUCCGCCCAAAAAUAUAAAUUGAACGUUACCGGUGUGUGGUCUCGACUACCAGGCAGAGUAUAACCAAGUAAAGGGGUUGCAUGCUCAUGUCCAAGUACUCUUAUAAAAUAUAUAUGAAUAUAUGUGUAUGUAUAUUAAUAUGAGAUGAGAUGAGUUGAAAUGAAAUGAGACGAGAGAAGAGAUGAAGAGGAUGCAAAAAGAUAUAAGGGAGUUUAGUAUAUGGGGUUUAAACCUGGGCGAUCGAGAGUUUAUCACCGACAUCCGGAUUUACGCGCGACUGAGAAGUGAAGGUGCCCGAGGGUCGUUAACGAUAUUGGAAGCUUGAGUCAUUGCAAGAGUAUAUAUAAUAAGAGAAUUAAAUAAAACUACAGAAGCUAACAUUUCGUCCACGUGCUCGUACAUUAAUUACA